GCGAACGCUGGCGGCAGGCCUAACCCAUGCAAGUCGCACGAACUCUUCGGAGUUAGUGGCGGACGGGUGAGUAACACGUGGGAACGUGCCUUUUGGUUCGGAAUAACUCAGGGAAACUUGUGCUAAUACCGAAUGUGCCCUUCGGGGGAAAGAUUUAUCGCCAUUAGAGCGGCCCGCGUCUGAUUAGCUAGUUGGUGAGGUAACGGCUCACCAAGGCGACGAUCAGUAGCUGGUCUGAGAGGAUGACCAGCCACACUGGGACUGAGACACGGCCCAGACUCCUACGGGAGGCAGCAGUGGGGAAUCUUGCGCAAUGGGCGAAAGCCUGACGCAGCCAUGCCGCGUGAAUGAUGAAGGUCUUAGGAUUGUAAAAUUCUUUCACCGGGGACGAUAAUGACGGUACCCGGAGAAGAAGCCCCGGCUAACUUCGUG
rnacentral:rRNA from 1 species